rnacentral:misc_RNA from 1 species
AUAUCUAUCAACCCAUUUUAUGGGUUGGAUGUGGGUUUGCUGGUCCUUCUUGAGGUCAGCUCCCCUUAAAUGCAUUAGCGGACAACAUUUUGCCAACCGUUCAUUGGUGUGAUAAACUAUCUACGCUAUUGAAUGGUGAAGGCAGUUCAGCUUCCUAACAGUCCUUGGACAAUUUAUCAUUA